GAUAUAUAUCUAAAAUAAAACUAUGAUUGAUAGUGCUGAAAAAUUCAAAAUGUAAUUCAUUUAUAAUUGAUGCACGAGAAGAUAUAUCUAACGGAACACUCGUGACUCGUCCAUAGUAAAUAUAUGGUGGUACUUAGUACUUAUAAUGAUAACAAUUUGAAAAUUUAAAACCGCAUGACUGAAACGAACGAGCUAUAAUGAAUCUGACACAUUUUAGAAAGUUUUUAUGCACGUAAGUUGAUGGCACUAUGUAGUCACGUAGUUAGGUAUAUAAAUACAAAAUAAU